CGCAGGCUGCAACCCGCCUGCGUGAAGUUGGAAUCGCUAGUAAUCGCGGAUCAGCAUGCCGCGGUGAAUACGUUCCCGGGCCUUGUACACACCGCCCGUCACACCAUGAGAGUCGGGAACACCCGAAGUCCGUAGCCUGACCGCAAGGGGGGCGCGGCCGAAGGUGGGUUCGAUAAUUGGGGUGAAGUCGUAACAAGGUAAC
rnacentral:rRNA from 1 species